CAAGCGUUAAUCGGAAUUACUGGGCGUAAAGCGCGCGUAGGUGGCUUGAUAAGCCGGUUGUGAAAGCCCCGGGCUCAACCUGGGAACGGCAUCCGGAACUGUCAGGCUAGAGUGCAGGAGAGGAAGGUAGAAUUCCCGGUGUAGCGGUGAAAUGCGUAGAGAUCGGGAGGAAUACCAGUGGCGAAGGCGGCCUUCUGGACUGACACUGACACUGAGGUGCGAAAGCGUGGGUAGCAAACAGGAUUAGAUACCCUGGUAGUCCACGCCGUAAACGAUGUCGACCAGCCGUUGGGUGCCUAGUGCACUUUGUGGCGAAGUUAACGCGAUAAGUCGACCGCCUGGGGAGUACGGCCGCAAGGUUAAAACUCAAAUGAAUUGACGGGGGCCCGCACAAGCGGUGGAGCAUGUGGUUUAAUUCGAUGCAACGCGAAGAACCUUACCUACUCUUGACAUCUACAGAAGCCGGAAGAGAUUCUGGUGUGCCUUCGGGAACUGUAAGACAGGUGCUGCAUG
rnacentral:rRNA from 1 species